rnacentral:rRNA from 1 species
AGUGAACGCUGGCGGCAGGCCUAACACAUGCAAGUCGAGCGGCAGCGGGUCCUUCGGGAUGCCGGCGAGCGGCGGACGGGUGAGGAAUGCGUCGGAAUCUGCCUUUUUGUGGGGGAUAACGUAGGGAAACUUACGCUAAUACCGCAUACGACCUACGGGUGAAAGUGGGGGACCGCAAGGCCUCACGCAGAAAGAUGAGCCGACGCCGGAUUAGCUAGUUGGCGGGGUAAAGGCCCACCAAGGCGACGAUCCGUAGCUGGUCUGAGAGGAUGAUCAGCCACACUGGAACUGAGGCACGGUCCAGAGUCCUACGGGAGGAAGCAGUGGGGAAUAUUGGACAAUGGGCGCAAGCCUGAUCCAGCCAUGCCGCGUGUGUGAAGAAGGACUUCGGGUUGUAAAGCACUUUUGUCCGGAAAGAAAUCCAAUCGAUUAAUACUCGGUUGGGAUGACGGUACCGGAAGAAUAAGCACCGGCUAACUUCGUGCCAGCCGCCGCCGCUGUAA